rnacentral:rRNA from 1 species
AGCGAACGCUGGCGGCAGGCCUAACACAUGCGAGUCGAACGGACCCUUCGGGGUUAGUGGCGGACGGGUGAGUAACACGUGGGAACGUGCCUUUAGGUUCGGAAUAGCUCCUGGAAACGGGUGGUAAUGCCGAAUGUGCCCUUCGGGGGAAAGAUUUAUCGCCUUUAGAGCGGCCCGCGUCUGAUUAGCUAGUUGGUGAGGUAACGGCUCACCAAGGCGACGAUCAGUAGCUGGUCUGAGAGGAUGACCAGCCACACUGGGACUGAGACACGGCCCAGACUCCUACGGGAGGCAGCAGUGGGGAAUCUUGCGCAAUGGGCGAAAGCCUGACGCAGCCAUGCCGCGUGAAUGAUGAAGGUCUUAGGAUUGUAAAUUUCUUUCACCGGGGACGAUAAUGACGGUACCCGGAGAAGAAGCCCCGGCUAACUUCGUG